CAUAACCUCAGAGGAACUGUCUUGAGCCCGAUCUAAAACUUUGAAAAACAUUAUUUGCGAAAAGUUUGACACUCGUUAUUGUGUCUUUUUUGUGCGAAAUUGAAGCGGUGAAGAAGUCUCAUUAGUUGGCUUGCUAACUACAAGAGACAAACUAUCAUAACCUGAAUUGGACGAGAGAACCCCCUGAACUUAAGCAUAUCAAUAAGGGGAGGAAAAGAAAUCAACUGAGAAUCCCUUAGUAAUGGCGAAUGAACCGGGAAAAGCUCAUCGGGAAGAGGAAUUUUUAUUCCUCGGUGUCCGGUAUGGAUUGGUGCUCGAUUUUUAUGACUUUCCUGAUGUCUAUUGGAAUAUAGCAUCAAAGAGGGUGAAAAUCCCGUAAAGGAUCGUCUAAAAGAUCAAAAUGGCCCAAUCUUAUGAGUAGAGUUGUUUGAAAGUGCAACUCGAAGCUGGAGAUAUGUCUCUCCAAAAGCUAAUUAUAAAGCGAGACCGAUAGCAAACAAGUACCGUGAGGGAAAGUUGAAAAGCACUCUGAAGAGAGAGUGAAAAGUACGUGAAACUGUUGAAGGGGAACUGGAGUGAGUGUUAACCAACCUAAUGCCUUGAUUUAUUCUUGGUAACUUGGUUACGAUGUUGUAGUCUCUUGGCUAUUGUUAGGGAUACAAGCAAGUGAAAACUUCGGUUUUCUCUUUGUUGUGUCUUCUCUAAAUGAGAUCUGUUGAUCUCCUUUGCCUGUCUGACCAUAACUUCGAAUUCAAUGCUCUCUUCAGCCCGUCUUGAAACACGGACCAAGGAGUGUGAGUUGCUUGCAAGUGUUGUCGCUCAUUGAAAGCGCACACGCGAAAUGAAAGUGAAAAAUGUGACCUUUAUGGGUGGCAUUACUUUGUGGUGAGAGCGCCAAAAUGGUGUCUCGCAACCACGGACGGUUUUGCUAUAAAUGCAUGACUGAUCCAGAGCAAGCAGCACACGACCCGAAAGAUGGUGAUCUAUGCUUGGGCAGGGCGAAGCCACGGGAAACCAUGGUGGAAGCCCGAAGCGGUUCUGACGUGCAAAUCGAUCGUCUGACCUAAGCAUAGGGGCGAAAGACUAAUCGAACCAUCUAGUAGCUGGUUUCCUCCGAAGUUUCCCUCAGGAUAGCAAAAGCUUGAGCAAGAUUGAAAAAUCUUCGCUAUGCAAUUUCAUCGGUUAAAGCGAAUGAUUAGAGGAAUGGGGGAAAAUUUUUCCUUCACCUAUUCUCAAACUAUAAAUCGGUGAGAUGUCCUUGUAACUUAAUUGUACUUGGACUUUGAAUGCAAGCUUUUUGUGGGCCGCUUUUGGUAAGCAGAACCGGCGAUGUGGGAUGAACCGAAAGUUGGGUUAAGGCGCCUAACUACUUGCUCAUGAGUCACCACAAAAGGUGUUGAUUGAUAUUGACAGCAGGACGGUGGUCAUGGAAGUUGAAAACCGCUAAGGAGUGUGUAACAACUCACCUGCCGAAUCAAUCAGCCCUGAAAAUGGAUGGCACUAGAGCUCGUGGCCUAUACCCAACCAUGAAUAUCAAUAUUUAGCUUCGGCUAAAAAAAUUGAUCUGUUGAUCAAAAAAGAUAUUCAUGAGUAGGAGGACGCAUUGAUUGCGUAGAAAUAUACUCGUGAGAGUAUUUUCGCAGCGAUCAAUGGAGCAGAUCUUGGUGGAAGUAGCAAGUACUCAAAUGAGAACUUUGAGGACUGAAGCGGGAAAGGUUUUCAUGUGAACAGUGUUUGCACAUGAGUUAGUCGGUUCUAAAAGACAGGCUAAUGCCAAAGUCUUGAAUAGUGGUUUCUUGAAAACUGCUUUGUCUCGAAAGAGCAUCGGGUUAAAAUUCCCGAACUUACUCUCCUAGCUCAGCGACGGUAACGUCAUUGCGGUCGAAUUUUGUCAUUGGGACCUUGGGGAAGAGUUCUCUUUUCUUUAUAACACGUAGUAGAGACCUUGGAAUUGAUUCAAUCAGAGAUAAGGCUCGAGCCGUGCAAGAGCACAGCAGCAUUUGCUGUGUCCCAAUUGUUCCUGGUGGCACUUAAAAAUUUGGCUAAACUGAUGUUAGGAGAGUAAACCGUACCGAUUACCGCAUCAGGUCCCCAAGGUGAAAAGCCUCUGGUCUUGGAACAGUGUAGAUAAGGGAAGUCGGCAAAAUUGAUCCGUACCUUCGGAAGAAGGAUUGGCUCUGAGGAGCGGGUGUAACAAGCCUUUAGUUUGAAGCUUCGGUCUGCUAAAGCGUACGGCGACCUUCGGGUUGUUGGCGUUUGGCCUGACUGUUAGUGGAAAGUCUUUAGGUCUUUUCUGUUGCACAAAAAACGCUCAAACUCUGAACUGGUUCGGACAAGGGGAAUCCGACUGUUUAAUUAAAACAAAGCAUUGCGAUGGCUGGUGAAACGGUGUUGACGCAAUGUGAUUUCUGCCCAGUGCUCUGAAUGUCAAAGUGAAGAAAUUCAAAUAAGCGCGGGUAAACGGCGGGAGUAACUAUGACUCUCUUAAGGUAGCCAAAUGCCUCGUCAUCUAAUUAGUGACGCGCAUGAAUGGAUUAACGAGAUUCCUACUGUCCCUAUCUACUAUCCAGCGAAACUACAGCUUUGGGAACGGGCAAAGCUAAAUCAGUGGGGAAAGAAGACCCUGUUGAGCUUGACUCUAGUCUGACUUUGUGAAGUGGCUCGAAAGGUGUAGAAUAAGUG
rnacentral:rRNA from 1 species